AAUAGUCAGAUGGCAAUUCUCUUCAAUAGUCAGAUGGCAAUUCUUUUCAAUAGUCAGAUGGCAAUUCUCUUCAAUAGUCAGAUGGCAAUUCUUUUCAAUAGUCAGAUGGCAAUUCUCUUCAAUAGUCAGAUGGCAAUUCUUUUCAAUAGUCAGAUGGCAAUUCUUUUCAAUAGUCAGAUGGCAAUUCUUUUCAAUAGUCAGAUGGCAAUUCUUUUCAAUAGUCAGAUGGCAAUUCUUUUCAAUAGUCAGAUGGCAAUUCUCUUCAACAUGUUUUUCAGCUGAGAUUGCUAAAGGGGCUUUUUUGUUUUUUAGGUAUCAGUGCUCUGUCUGCAUGUAUGUCUACAUGCCAGAAGAGGGUAUCAGAUCUCAUUACAGAUGGUUGUGAGCCACCAUGUGGGUGCUGGGAAUUGAACUCAGGACUUCCAGAUGAGCAGCCAGUGCUCUUAACAUCUGAGCCAUCUCUCCAGCCUGGAGGGGGUAGGGUGGGGCUUUUUUUUUUCUCCCCGUGGGGAAGCAUGUAACCAUGUGAAGGCGGCUUAUGAAUAGGACAUUGCAGUUUCUGACAUGCAAGCCUGAUACUCUUGGCAGCUGUGCUGAGUUAUGACAUGUAUGAUGUUAGAGUAUAGUCAGCUUCUUCAUAGACUGACAGAACUGACACCUUGCUUGAGAUCAUAAAUACUGGUUCUUAUGGUUGUUGUUUGUGUGUGGUGUGCAUGAGGUGUGUGUGAUUGUAUGGACUCACACCUGUGCGUGUACAUAUGGAGGCCAGUGAAUGGUAUCAUGUGUCUUCACCACUUUCCACCUUAUCCCACGAGACAGGGCCUCUCAAUGAGCCGGAAGCUACAAGCUGUUUUGGCUGGCUGCCAGGAGCUUCGGCUCCAUCUGCUACCGAAGCACAGUGCUGGGGUUACAGCUGUCAGCAGCCAUGGCCAGUGUCUCCCUUAGUGUGCGGAUCUGAGCUCAGGUUUGCAUGGUCAGUGCUCUAACACUCGGUGCACUCUCCCCAGCCCAAUUCCACCUAAAAGACUGUUAGCAGAAACACGUUAAAUUCUCCCUGGGUGCCAACUAAAUAAAACUAUAUUUUUCCAGGCUGAAGAGCACUUGCUGUUCUUGCAGUGGACCUGGGGUUCAGUUCCCAGCACCCAAAUGUGUAACCCAGUCCCAGAGGAUCCAGUGCCCCCUUCUGGCCUUGCAUGGCCCUGCAUACGUGGUACACACACGCUCACACAAACACACAUACUUACACAAAACCAAUACAUACACAUGUAAAAUCUUAUUCUGCCAAGUUCUCCCUGUAAACUCAGCCAGGGGACUAGCCGAGAGAGCAUAAAGCAGGGGCCAAACGGUACAGUGUUUCCUCCGUGCGCUUGCUUUGUGCAUGUCCUGCUCCUGUGUGCAGGUCUGAUGAUCACGCUGUUCAUAACUGCUGAGCUGACAUGUGGUCAGACACCAGGAAAGAAGUGUUGGCUUGGGACCUGGUUGGGCUUUUGGCUGCUGGGUGCUGGGCUACGACCACAGUCUCAUGUCUCUGUCUUGCAUCAUCUACCUUUCACCGUCCCUGUCCUGUCGAGGUCAGCUUUUGGUCCAUGACUAAGGUGCUGUGCCCACACAAGCUUGGCCUGAGUGCUGACGUGUUGUGACUCAUGCCCUUGGUGGCCCUCAGAAGGUGAAAGGGGAAUCGGACAGUAAAAACCUCACUUUGGUCAGCAUGAGGUCAAAGAUGCAAAAUCCUUAUGUGGGCACUUAACCUGUGAUUUGAUCUAAAUAUUGUUUUUAUUUCUUUUAUAAUUGCCCGCUUCCUAACCUGGUGGUGAGGUAGUCUAACAUGCUCUGGGUUUAAAAACACAUCUGCCAACUGAUUCUCUGUGGCUGAUCAAAACUAGUAUUAGUGGUGAGAACUCAAGGUCCCUAAUGACAAAUCACAGAGGGCAACUUAGAAACUGAUGCUCACAGCUAGGGUGGCACUGGUGACCCUCUACACAGUAGAGACGCAUAAGAGGAUGAUGAAGCAGACGUCAUCAGCACAGACCAGGAAGUCCCCUGCGAUGCUUCCUCCCAGUGGGGUGGAAGUGACAUCUCUGCUUUAUCAAUUCUUUCAGUUUCUCGCUGAACCAUCCAUUUGUUCACUGAACACCAGCCACGGUCUGGCUCUGGCUAGAUCAAAUUUUGGGGUCCAGAUACAACUAUGUCACCAUUCCUUGAGCUGACGGUUCCACGGGGCACAUGUGACCACCCCCAAAAGACUGUCGGGGGUCACUGAGCAUAGGCCCAGGUAUGAUCUUAUGCUCCACCCGAUGUUACUGGUGGUGCUGGUAGCCAUAAAGCAGCCCCAAGAAGGUGAGGUCAAAGACGCCACCCAGUCCUGUUUUUUUUUUUUUUUUUUUUUUUUAAAGUUAUUUGGAAUUGAAUGUAGGACCUCACACAGAAUAGGCAAGAGCUCUACCACCAAGUGGUAUCCUUACUCCCUUUUCACUCUGUAUUUUGAGACAAGGUCUCAUUAAGUUGCCAGGCUGCCCUUGAACCCAUUCUGCAACCCACGUGGACUUUCAAUUUGUGACCUUCCUGCGUCAGCCUCCCGAGUGGCUGGGAUUACAGAAUUGUGUCGUAGGCCCAGCUAUGAUUUACACUUGUAAGUGGCAAAGGUCCACUCAAGUAUUUCCCAAGAAGUCUUCUUAUGGAGUUAAGCCUUCCCCAGUGGCCUGGAGUAUGGUGUGGAGAAUUUCAGUUCUCACUUGCAGGCACAAUUCCACUCUGCCAUCUGCCCACUCGGAUGGAGUCAGAGCCCCAGAAGGAGGUGCCAGAUAAGUUGCUCUGUGAUUCACCAUGGAUUCCGUGACCUUUGUUGUGGGCUGAAUGACACCCCCAACUGCUCAUGCUGAGAGUCUACUUACUAUCCAGCACUCCCCACGUGACUGAGCCUGAAGAGGGAGGUCUUUAUAAGAUGGUUAUGGUGAAGAGGCCAUUAGGGUAAGCCCUAAUUCAGCCUGCCUGGUGUCCUUACAGCAGACUUAGAACCUUCGAAGGAGACAGUAAAAAGCUAACAUCUACCUGCCAGGGAGAAGUCACAGAAGGAGACAAUUCCACCCCCACCUACAUGUUGAUCUUGAACUUAUAGCCUUCAGGAAUGGGAGGGGAAAGUCCCCGUUGUUGAACACUUAGUCUCUGCUUUGUGUUCGUGCACUCAUAAUAAACUAAUAUAAUCUCCAACGUGAGAGGCGGCAACAGUGUAACAUACACCCAUCUUGAACUAACACCUGUAUCCUACACAGGAGCUCCUAGCUACAGCUUCUGUUGUUUCCAAGGGGAGAUCAGGAAGAAAAUGAUGAGGCUGGAAUUGAGGAUGACUGCGGGCCGCCUACCCCAGAGUACUAGCCUCCCUCAUGUGUUUAGAGGGGUGCAUGGCUCUACUAUGGAGCUGAGGGCAUGCAUUGUCUGCCAUCCAACGUAAGCUGCAAUUCACUCAUACACGGGAACCCAGAAAAAUCACCAAUGAGAUAAGGGCAACAAGCAACUGGGAGUCAUGAAAGCCACUUCCCAAAUGCCACCUUGCUGGCAGUCUCUUGGAAGUCUCUUCCCUCCCCUAAUGAAUCCAAGGAAAGUGGCACCAAGGCUUUCAAGGCACCCAACCCACCAAGAGAGACACAGAGUGGAUCCAUGCCAGUUGCGACUCCCUCCAGCAUUGUUCCUUUUCCAAGGCUGAGGAGGAAGGUUGCUGGCUGCUCCAAGGUGGAAAACUCACACAGCAACAUAUCCUUGUAGAAAAUUUCUGUGAUUAUUCCUUCCCUGGAAAAACGGAUGACAAACCCUGAAUCACAUUGUCCAGGACUUCAAAAUGACACUGAUUUGCCACUUUCCAUUGGAGCAAGCGAGGGGAGAGAGAGGUGGCGGUUCUGCCACUCAGAUGGACGCGAGCCCACAUUCUGACAAUGGGACUCUGGCAUCUCUCUCCUGCUCCUAGGCAGUGCUGCCAGUCCCUGACCCUGGAGGGCAUCCUGGUCUGACACUGGCACAGAGCCAUAUAGAAAUACCAUGCAAAGAAGAUGUAGAACUCAGCUCACAGGUUGUAGGAGAAGACCUGGACGGCCAAGGUUCUAGAAACACUCCUACCGAGACUCCAGGGAGAGAGGGGAAGGAGCGGCGGCCCCUCACUAGGCUUGGGAUACAGGCAGGAAUCUCUGCUGUGCUUCCCAAGGAUUGGAAGAAAGGAAGAGAAGGCCCAGCCAGAUGCCUGGAGCAUGCUGACACAUGACUUAGAGUGCAUGAAACCAUGGAAAGUCACACUACUUCCUCACAGCCCUGCCGGCCACUGCACUGAAACACUCCUGACUAAUUCAUUCCAUGCUGCCUUUCCCAUGGCUGAGUCACAGCGAUCCUCUGCUCCUUUGUUUCCUGAGUGACCUGAUGAGGGUUAUUACACAUUUAAAAAGCUGGAUAUAUACAAAACCCAGGCACAACUCAUGAGUUCAAGCCCUAAAUAAAUGCUUGGUCCGAAAAUCCCAAGACUCUCAGGGUUCUGGGCCCUAAGGGGGCAGCCACGUCUAUUCCAGUGGAAGAGCCUUUGGCACUGCAUGGCAUUCCAGACCCAAACUCCUGAGUUCAGCCCCACAGUCAGAGCUACUGCCAAUGAAACAAUGAGCAGAAUGCAGGAGGCAUCGGGGAAGCUUGGAAUCCAGAGAUACAGUAGUUAAGAUGCAAAUGGGCUAAGCCACAACACACAGUCAUGCUCAGAGGCUAGACAUGCCUUAUUAAAGACCAUUUGAAUAUCUUGUCUUAUGUUUUUAUUACCAAAAGGAAAGCGGCCUGCUUUAGCUUGUUUGGGCUUGAAGGAGGGGAGGGGCUUUAAAGUCACUGUGGUUUCCUUCUCAAACACUGCACACAUUUUCAGUUGUCACUUAUGGUUAGGCAACUCUAACUCUACCAAUCACUUCUCUAUUUGCCUUCCUUUGUGUCUGCUCCCCUCCGCCCCACUCCCAGGCUUCCAAGGAUGCUGGGCAAGCACUCUACCCUUGAGCCACAAGACUUGACUUUGAUUCUGUUUCUAGUCAUCAUCCUGAAAGGUGUCCCUAUAGGAAGGGACCCCAUUCAGAUACUGUGAAUUACGCAGCCACUUUGACCUAAAAAGCAUUACUUCAUAAGAGUCACUCAGUGGUUUAAAUGAGUAAUUAAAUGAGUUAUUAUUAUUUGAAAAGCCAACUUUCAAAUUGACUUAUACAUGAGUGAAGUCUAGGUUCUGGGUCGCUGAAGCCUUCACGGUGACCAACUGCAGGGUAGGGGCUGGCAAUGGGCAGCUCAGCCCAGCUGAAGGGCUGGUGUGCAGUCAAACAAGAGACACAGUGUGCCUCCAGCCACGAUGCAGAGGGAAUAAAGGCAUGUGCUCACACAGUGGGCCGUCCAUCAGACAAAUGAGACCACUUCUUCAAAGCACAGGAGUAAGGGGGAACCCUGAUAUUAGGACAUGGAACAGUCAGGUCAGCCAAACAGAGCGCUGCUGCUUCAGAUCUGAAUUCAAAUAAGCAAAUCGGAAAAAGGCCUUCAUGAAGCCAAUUUGGGAAAUCUGGGAACAGAACAGAUAUUUGAUGACUGUAUCAAAGUUACUUUGCUUUUUCUUAAAACAGAAUUCUUAGUGCCACACACCUUUAAUCCCAGCACUUGGGAGGCAGAGGCAGGUAGAUCUCUGAGUCAAGGCCAGCCUUGGUCUACAUAGUGAGUUCCAGGACAGCUAGAGCUACAUAGUGAGAACAACCCCCCAAAAUAAAAAAAAAAAAUGAACAAAAACAGAAUCCUUAUAUUUUAGAGUUGUGUACAAUGGAACAUGCUACCUGAAGUCUGUUCAAAAUUAUUUCAACAUACUAAAAAGUUACCUCACAAAGUUUAAAGGAAGAGAAAGAGGACUUGACAAGAGCUUCCGAACAAGGCUGGCACUGCCCACACCAUACCCAGGCUGAUGCUAAUGGACCUGUGUCUAACUGUGUUCAUAAUAAAAUGAAUCGUGCAUAAAGCUGAAAUGGGCCAUUCGAGUUUCAACAGUUUUUCCAGAGACUGCAACUCUCUUAGAAACAGCUUCUUUGUAUAGUCACAAUAACCAGUGGCAAAGGUGUGCAUAUUAUUUUUUACAAUCGUUGCACGCUGUCAGUAAGGGGAAGUACUGCAGACGAUGAGCUGGGGAAGGCCAGGCAUGCCUGUAUGGAGGAGCAUCUCAGUAAGCCUUGCAGGCCGGGACAAGAACAAGGACACAGCUGCUUUGUUCUGUGUCACCUGGGUCUAGCCUCAGUGGAGAAAGCGCUCUUACUGUUCUGUCGGCAGCCACAUCUGGGUCCUUUCAAAGCUGUGAAGAGCAUGCCAGAGCCACCAGUUACAGUGAAGUCACCCAGCCAGUCACACCACCUCACACUCAUGUGGCUCAUUCCAGCCACCUGUGUCAAAAACACACUAAUUCCCAGCUCCCAUGGCAAUCUGAUGGAGGUGGCAGCCUGGGUAUCAUUCCAACCUGGAGACACUGCUACAGAUAUUGUGUUUGCUCAGGUCAGGGCAGGCAUCAUGGCCAAAAAGCACCUAGCCAGGGCUACGGAUCCCAU